rnacentral:lncRNA from 1 species
CCAUUUCUUGGGCCACUCUCGCGGCAUAUGGAGGUUCCUAGGCUAGGGGUGGAAUCAGAGCUGUAGCCACUGGCCUAUGCCAGAGCCACAGCAACGCGGGAUCUGAGCCGCAUCUGCAAUCUACACCACAGCUCAUGGCAACGCUGGAUCCUUAACCCACUGAGCAAGGGCAGGGAUCAAACCGGCAACCUCACGGUUCCUAGUCAGAUUUGUUAACUACUGAGCCAUGACGGGAACUCCUCUCAUGGGGUAUGCUGUGUGAUUGGUUAGGGCAGCAUAUUUAGCUGGUUGAUACUGAUUUGGAAAUGGGGGCAAAACAUUAGAAAGCUAGUCUGAUAUUCUGGGCCAAUUGCUGAAGAGGUUGCGUUUUGGCUUCUUGGGUUGGUUGGAAGGGUUGUGGGUAAGAAUUGAAUCUUCGUAUAGGUCUGGCCAUUGUCUCACUACCCAUAAAGCAAGGAUAUUAUUGAAUCUAGAGGACAAGUUGCCACGUCUGCUUCAGCUUUCCUUCCUUCCUUUCUUCCUUCCUUCCUUCCUUCCUUCCUUCCUUCCUUCCUUUCUUUCUUUCUUUCUUUCUUUCUUUCUUUUCUUUCUGCACCUGCUGCAUAUGGAGUUUCCCAGGCUAGGGGUCGAAUUGGAGCUGCAGUUGCCAGCCUUCACCACAGCCAUACCAACAUGGGAUCCUAGAUGAGUCUGUGACCUAUAUCACAGCUCACAGCAAUGCGGAAUCAUUAACCCACUGAGUGAGGCCAGGGAUUGAACCUGAGUCCUCACAGAUACCAGUGGGUUCGUUACCAUUGUGCCACAAUGGGAACUCCCUGCUUUCACUUGCUUCUGAAGUUACUCAGCCUCAGUCUCCACUGUGGGUGGUAUUGCUGCAACCUUAGCAAUUCUGAGAGGUCAAAUGUCUAAUAUUCUCUUUUUUCAACUAAAGGUCUCAGCAAGAUGCCAACUGCAGCACAUGAAGUAAUGGAUAGAGGACCUCACCUUUUAACUGCCUGGUUACCAUGGACCAAUGACAUUCUUGGUGGCAUCUGCACCCUUUCCAAAAUAUGCGAAUCUCCCACCUUAUGAGGCAGAACCUUCAUCUUAUCAUAGAAGAUGAAAACACUAAGGACUCACUUUCCAGCCUCCCUUGCAACCAGGGUAUGGCUGUGACCCAGGUUUUGCCAACUGAACACACCUGUAAAAGCCUUAAAUUCCCUCUUUAUGUAGAUGCAAAAAUUCCAUGAUGUAUUCUAUUUCCUAUUAUCUAUACUUUCUGAUAUUUUAUAGUAGGAACCAGAAAAAAUGAGGAGAAACAAGGGAAGGAAGAAAGGGGAAAAAAAGAGUCAGUGGAACUUGACAGAGGUAGGAAAGCAGAAUUGGAAGUAGAGAGUGAACAGGAUGUGAAAUAACAGGAGUCAGCUGAGUGAGGUAAGGUAUGUCAAAGAAGUCCUUUUGGGGACAUAACUGUUGUAUUAGAUCUAAAGAAGAUUUGAUUGAUAUCAAAGAGUAGAAACGAUAUUCUGGGUAAAGGAGAAAGAAAAAAAAUAGUAGAAAUUGUGACGUGGUUCACCCUCUUGUUUUCUGCAGGAUCAUACUUAAUCUAUGCUAGCCAAAAUCAUUUCUUUUUUUCUUUUUUAAAAAAGGCAUCCAAAGGAGGAUAAUUAAGACUCCUCAAUUCUAAAAGUUUCAGGACCCACAGAUAUUUGGUUGUCAACAAGAUGAUUUAUGUUUUUCCUAAAGUUCUAAUAUCUAUUGAGAAGUUUUAUCCUCCUUACUCAAAUAUACACCUUUAAAAUUGUCUAUAGUGAUAUCUUCUGUUUAUUUAUGUCCAUUCUUCAAAUUAUACUUUAAUCUGGGUGGGGCAUUUCAUUAAGUGCUAUUUUAUAGCUUACUGUGAAAUGUCAAUCAUUUAUUCAUUAAGCAGUAUAGAUAUGUUGGUAUGAAUAUAUUAAUUCAUAAAAGAAUAACCUAAGUUUAUUGAUACAUUGUUGACAAAUGACUUUAGUACCAUACAUUCUCAGGUUUAGUAAUCACAUAAGUAGGGAUAGAAUAAGAAAAAUAUUGACAGGUCCUAUACACUCACGAAAAGCAAGGAGCUAAAAUACAAACCUGCUCCCAAUAUGAAAGAAAACCACAGUCCUCAAUUCCCCUUUUAACAGUGUUCAUGCUUUUAGAGUUGAGCCUAAUCAAGUUCUAAUGUCUUUUUAACCCACACCUCCCUUCACAUUCUCUCCAUAUGUAAGAUUGGGGUUUCACUGAGUCCAAAGGGACUUGAGAAGCUAGGGAAUGAAAGAACUGCAGUGGGUUAGUACAUUUUCCCUAAAGUUCCAACAUGUGGGUCACACUUUGAAAUUUCAACUGGAAUAAUGUUGAGGAAGAGUUGAUAAAUAAUACGUAUUGAACAAAUGUUACUUUGUUGAGGAACUAUUGUCAUUAUGAUGAUGUAACUUUUCCUCUCUGUAAGAGGAAAUAAAAAAGAACUGUUUAAUUUGUAUGGGGAGAGAUUUAGCUCUUAAUGGAGAAAAUCCUGACACUGAAACAAAGGAAUAAUAGAUAUAACAUUAGAGAUGAUUUGCUAGGCUUUGUCAGUGAAGGUUAUAGUAGGUUGGGAGUAAGGGGGAAAGACUGGAAAUUCUUGCUUGUAUCUACUUAUUAAUUCGGUUCUUUCCAAUCUCUUUGAUGUUAAUUGCAUUAAUCAGAAAAUUAAAUCACAUUGACUAUGGCUACCCAAAUAUAUUUUGGUGUGUAUACAUGUAAGUCAACACCAGUAGUUACAAGGAUGACUUGCAAUGAAGGAAAAAUUCACUCUAAGGAAAAAGAAAAUUAUUAAGAGGAACCAAAAAAUAGGCUUUCUCCACUUGCGAGACCGUAUCUGCCUAGAAAUUGAAAUGAAAUUGAUUAAAAUACUCAUUCACAGACACAUAGAAAUUAAAAAAAUUCUUUUAACAUGUCCUAUUAGACUAGAACAAAAUGUGCUUGUAGCUCUGUUGCUACCAUAUUCACUCACUACUAUUAAAUAUUUCAUUUGAUGAUAUCUUAAAAGAAACAAUUGUGUUACCUUAAAAAAAAAAUCUCUGAGGAGUUCUUGUCAUGGCGCAGUGGAAACGAAUCUGGCUAGGAACCAUGAGAUUGCAGGUUUGAUCCCUGGCCUUGCUCAGUGGGUUAAGGAUCUGGCAUUGCCAUGAGCUAUGGUAUAGCUUGCCGACUCGGCCAGAUCUGGUGUUGCUGUGGUCUAGGCUGGCAGCUGUGGCUCUAACUAGACCCCUAGCUUGGGAAUCUCCAUACACCCCGGGUGCAGCCCUGAAAAGCCAAAAAAAAAAAAAAAAAAAAAAAAUCACUGAGUCAGAAAUUGUGAUUAAGGGUAUGAUUCAGAUUGCCUUUGGAGACUAUUUGGGUCAUCUAAGUUUAUCUAUGAUGGGUAACAUUAAGUUCUAAGACAAAUGUGUUUAUACCUUCAAAAACAGAGGAAACAUUUUCAAAUCUCUAAUAUUUUAAUUUGGUAAAAAAAAAUCAUAUUUUAGACUGGUCUUAAGUUUAGCAAAUAAAUGUAAUUUGUUCAAAAUCUUGUUUCAUGGUUCAGUUCUGUUCAAGCCACUCAUAUGCAUGACCUAAAGCUGCAGUGAAAGAAUAACUCUUGCAGAAAAAAAGUCAGAAGGGGAAGAUUUAUCAUGAAUAAUUUAUAUUGAAACAAGAUUAUAAAACUGAUGUAUUAUCUUUAUACUAAUGCUGAGAAAAAUGUAUAAUCAAAGUAAUAAAAAAAACCCUGACCAGUUCAGAGUUAUUAAAACCUGGGAAUACUUAAUAGCAAAUUCCACAUAAACAAAAGGAGCUUCAGGAUCCUAUCCACUUCAGUUGAGCCAAUUUUAAGACUAAUUUGUUUCUGAAGCAAGGCAAAUUGUUUCGAGCAUAUCAGCACUGGAUGGUCACAAUGUGAUCACAAUGUUGUGUUGACUUCAUAGUCCAAUCCUCUUCUGCUCACUUGUCUCUUUUACUUCUUCUCUUCUAAUAUAGUCUUUGAAAGCUUUAUACAGAAAAAAAAUGAGGAGGGCAAUGCAGAGAAAAUGAUUUUCUGAAAUUUCCCUUCAAAAUGGACAUCCAAAAGGGAAGAGAGAAUAUAUGUGAAUACAAUCUAUUAUGAAGGAAGUCAUCACUGAUUAUGAUAAAUACUAUUUUUGAGGACAUGAAAUAAAAGAUGAUGUGAUUAGAUUUCUCUUCCAGUAAUGGCAGGUAUAUUGAAAGGAGCCUAGUAAAUAGACUAUAUAGCCUUAAAAUGUUUUAAAAAUAGUGUUAUAUGUGGUAUUUGUUUAUAUCAUUAUUUUUCUUUUGAAAAACAUUUUUACUAUAGCUCUUUUUAUAAAUCCUCACAACCACUCUGUGAGUCGGGUGGGCCCUUCCUUUCGGUCUCCUGAGGGUAGAUGGAGAAGUUGGGAUAGGCCCCUGCCAGGGCUGCCGCGGGACAGUGGGGUCCUUCGCAUAUCAGGGCACCAGCCCUCCCCGCUCCCAGCUCGGCUGAUACCGGCCUCUGGGAUCUCACAGUCAGCGAGGGGAGAGGCUGCGGAGAGCGACUGCUCCCCCCGCGGUCCCUCCUCCAACAGCUGAGUCCUGCCCACCCUCUUCAGGGGCGGGGGUGGGGUGGGGUGGCAGCAGUUCUGGGGAGUGUAAGGGUCCGCGAUGAGACGGUGGUCGUGGGCACUGGCUUUGUGGCGUCAGAGUGACUGGGUUUGAAUUUGAAUCUCCAGACCUUUUUUUACGGUGCCUGACUUAAGGCAGUCACUCAAUUUCCUCCUCUGGAGAGAGGACAUCCUUUGAUUUAUCCCAAGGGGUUCACUGACUUAAAAUAGUCAACGAUUUAAAGCAAUAAAGGUCUUAGUCUACUGCCCCUGCCGAAGAAAAUGCUACAAAUAUUAUCAGUUCUGGGAUAGGUAGGUCACUAUCUCUACUACUUUGGGGCAUUUCCAGCUGCAAAAUGGGCGCAAUGUAGAUUGCAGUCUUUUAAUGGCACACAUUACUUUGCCAACAAUCAAACAAACCAGAGAAAAACAAAACCCCUCACCAUCCCUGCUCUCCGUCCUGCUCUGGAGCCACUCAGUUUUGACACUUGUUUCCGGGAUCUGAAGGAGCUGGAUCCUAACCCAAGGAAAUAUUCUUUUUUACGUUUUUAUUUUUUAUUAAAGCCGCGUUGAUCUACAAUUGUGCCAAUAUCCCUGUACAGCAAAGCGACUCAGUCAUAUAUAAAUUCUUUUAAAAAUACUGUUUUCCAUCACGGUCUACCUCAGGAGAUUGUAUAUCAGUAAACACUGUUAUUAACUAGGAAAACAGAAAAGUGAGA